GAUGCAGCAGUACAGGGAAGACUAUCACAUGUGAGCUGGAAGACUGCCAACAUGGAGACACGGAGAGAGCAAGCUUUGUUGUUUGUCCUAGAACAAAAUGGCCAAGGCUGUGGGACAGAAGAACCAGGGCUCUGUUCAGUAGCUGUGGGACAGAAGAGAGAAAUCAGCUAUGCAAGUGUUUGCUUUGUCUUCUGCAACUGACCAAAGCGUCCACAGUUCCCCCCCAUAAAACAGUGAACUCCAUUAAUCAAGAAAACUAAACUUCCAGUGGCAUCUACAAAGUCUGCCUCAUGACAGAAGUCUGAAGUAAUAAUCAACAAAGGCCUGGAGAUAAGCAACAAAAGCCCGCAAAAGUAGUCCAUGGUCUAUAACAGCACAGUGCCACAAUCAAUAAGGUUUUAAUACUAUGGAGGAAGAAGUUUUCUUAACACUCCAGGCCUACACAACCCUACUUCUGGAAUUUGGUUUCAUGAAUCAAGAUCCCCCCCCCCCUUGGUAUAUGUCAACAAAAUGUACAAAAACUGACCUAGCUGACUGGGGUUUUGCUGCAAGCUCAGAAUGGUCAUACAAAUGAAAAAAAGAAAUCGGAUGUAAAAUCAAACUAACUUUGUUGUUAAAGAUUUAGCAAUGUAGCCAACCAGAACCAUUUGAACCAGUUAUAUAUUGUUGGUGCUAUUUAGGUACUUUUAAUAAAUGUAAUCUUUUGUAAGAUAAAGAGCUACAGAGGGGAACUCCAAGUGGUCUGUUAGGCACAGGCCUUAAGAACCUCUUAACACUUGGCUAAGAAACAGGAAUAAAUAAAAAUCUUAAGCAUACUUCAUUCAUUGUAAAUGUUAUUUCAUUCAAGGAACAA